rnacentral:rRNA from 1 species
UACAGAGGUCCCGAGCGUUGUUCGGAUUCACUGGGCGUAAAGGGUGCGUAGGUGGUGAGGAAAGUCGGAUGUGAAAUCUCGGAGCUCAACUCCGAAAUGGCAUUGGAAACUACCUUGCUUGAGGAUUGGAGGGGGGACUGGAAUACUUGGUGUAGCAGUGAAAUGCGUAGAUAUCAAGUGGAACACCAGUGGCGAAGGCGAGUCCCUGGACAAAUCCUGACACUGAGGCACGAAAGCUAGGGGAGCAAACAGG